rnacentral:lncRNA from 1 species
CAAGGAAUACCUGGGAUAGGAUAAAGUAAUCCUUCUAACCCCCCCCUUAAAAGAUUUAGAUGCACUAUUGUAAAGUGGUUGUUCCACUGGAUAUUAUAAGGUGAAUGCACCAAUUUGUAAGUCGCUCUGGAUAAGAGCGUCUGCUAAAUGACUUAAAUGUAAAUGUAAAUGUAGAAAGUAAGAGAGAGAGAGAGAGAGAUGAUCUCUAAUAUAAAAGUGUGUAGUAAAUUUUCUGUAAGGGUUUGGAGCACAGAGCAGACUCAAGAGUUUUCUGUUGCUUAUAUGGCCUAACAUCUGUCCUAAUCUCUUUGAGUAGCUUACGACUUGCGACUAAAUUCUUGUACAGUUUCUAGCUAGCAGCUAACACAUGUAAACUACUUUCUUAUUUUUCUUCACUGACCUGGUGUGACUUUCUUUUGUCCUGUCCACUCAAAGAUCUACACAAUCGAACAUAUAAUAACAUCCUGUUAUUAAUUCCCUGGGUACAAUAAAUAUGUGAGAAACACACUAGGCAGUGGGAGUGGAGAGAGAGGUUUCAGCUACUGAACUGUGUUACCUAUCGUUCUGAAGGAGACAGGUUUCAGCUACUGAACUGUGUUACCUAUCAUUCUGAAGGAGACAGGUUUCAGCUACUGAACUGUGUUACCUAUCGUUCUGAAGGAGACAGGUUUGAGCUACUUAGCUGUGUUACCUAUUGUUUUGAAAGUUGUUUCAAUCAUCGUAAUCCUUCCUCACCAUCAUACCUCUACCUACAUGGGGCUCCAGAUGCUACAGCUGCAUAAACAUAUGUACACACACACGCACGCACGCACGCACGCACACACACACACACACACACACACACACACACACACACACACACACACACACACACACACACACACAUUCAAGUAAUUAGCAUUAGCAUGAUAAAUCUCUCUCUCUGUCUUUAUCUCUCUCUCUCACUCUCUCUCUCCUUCUCUCCAUCAGUGAUAGCUAUGAGAAAUCUCCUCCAUGGCCUAUUUAAUCUGAGAGACCGGGCCUUCUGUUUGUCUCUCUCUUUCCACUCAGCAAACACUGAUAAAUCACAGCAAAGUACCCACUAUUAGUAAGUGCGAAUAGCUCAUUGUGAUGAAAUUACC